rnacentral:rRNA from 1 species
GACGAACGCUGGCGGCGUGCUUAACACAUGCAAGUCGAACGGAAAGGCCCCUUUUUUGUUGGUUGCUCGGGUGGCGAAGGGGUGAGUAAAGAGUCACUUACCUAACCUUGCCUUUUGGCUUACUUAAGCGCAUUAGAGUUAAUCCCAGACAGGAUUUCCUGCUGCUUGGUGGGGGUUGGACUGGUGAGGCGGUUGGGGAUGGGCUGGGGGCUCUCCCGGUUGUUGGUGGGGUAGUGGCUUACCAGGGCUUUAACGGGUGGCCGGCCUGAACGGGUGACCGGCCACAUUGGGACGGGUAUACGGCCCAGACUCCUACGGGAGGCAGCAGUGGGGAAAAUUGCAAAAUGGGCGGAACCCGGAUGCAGUAACGCCGUGCGCGGUGUGACGGCCUUCGGUUUGUAAACCGCUUCCGCCUGGGACGAGGUGGGGGUGACGGUAAUUGGUUAAGAAGCACCGGCUAACUACGUG